UACGAAGGGGGCUAGCGUUGCUCGGAAUCACUGGGCGUAAAGCGCACGUAGGCGGAUUGCUAAGUCAGGGGUGAAAUCCUGGAGCUCAACUCCAGAACUGCCUUUGAUACUGGCGAUCUCGAGUCCGGGAGAGGUGAGUGGAACUGCGAGUGUAGAGGUGAAAUUCGUAGAUAUUCGCAAGAACACCAGUGGCGAAGGCGGCUCACUGGCCCGGUACUGACACUGAGACGCGAAAGCGUGGGGAGCGAACAGG
rnacentral:rRNA from 1 species